GCUUCCUUAGAAGUUGGUGACAUUUUCCCAAAGAAGUCACUGUGAAACUAAAGAAAGUAGAAAUCAAAGAGGCAAAGCCAGUGAAGCUGAAGCUGUUUGCACCUCAGGACCAGAAGGUCUCAUAAGAAAAGCAGUAAAGUCCAUGAGAAUGAAGCUGACAUGGGAAGAGGAAUCAGAAAUGAUGAAAGGGAAUCCUUAUGGUUUGUGCUGGUGGAUAAAGAAGGUGAAACAAGACAGAAUUCUACCAGUUGACAAAAAGUUGAAAUUAUACAAAGAAACUUGCAAGAAGCACAAGAAAAAAGACCUAUAUUAUGAUUUUCACUUGAAGUGAAGUAAAUGGAGGGGCUGGGAAAUAGAUGCCAGGCACCCCUCUCCAACGUGGGUAUGCCUGGCUGAGUCCCUGAGACUGCAGAGUGGCAGUGUUGAGUGACCACCAUGUGUUCAGCGAGGAGUGAAUGCCAGAAUAUGCUCUAAGGAAAAGUGCAGAUAAUAAACUUAAAAAGACAACUUAGCAAAAUUGGUAGUUUCUCAAGGAGUUGGGGGUCACCAGGUGAGUAGUGAGGA
rnacentral:lncRNA from 10 species